rnacentral:rRNA from 1 species
UACGAAGGGGGCUAGCGUUGCUCGGAAUCACUGGGCGUAAAGCGCACGUAGGCGGACUCUUAAGUCGGUGGUGAAAUCCUGGAGCUCAACUCCAGGACUGCCUUCGAUACUGAGAGUCUCGAGUCCGAGAGAGGUGAGUGGAACUGCGAGUGUAGAGGUGAAAUUCGUAGAUAUUCGCAAGAACACCAGUGGCGAAGGCGGCUCACUGGCUCGGUACUGACGCUGAGGUGCGAAAGCGUGGGGAGCAAACAGG